GGAGAGGUGUCCGAGUGGUUGAAGGAGCACGCCUGGAAAGUGUGUAUACUCCUAAAGGGUAUCGCGGGUUCGAAUCCCGCCCUCUCCG
rnacentral:tRNA from 1 species